AUGGAUUUCCCUCCACAGAAUGAAAUUAACCUUCAGCGCAACAGCAGAUUAUCAACAUGGAUUUCCCUCCACAGAAUGAAAUUAACCUUGCUGGGUGAUCCUGCUUGGUAUAUUGCAGCUGACUAUAUCCUCUGCAACAAAAGUGCUAUGAGGGUUGUUGUUUUUAAGAUUGCACAUGGUUUUCUAUAUGGUGAGGCUGAGGAAACUGAAACCUAUUGGACCUCUCCAUCUAGUCUGCUGCUAACCCUCCUCACCACAUCCCCUUCCAGCAUCAAAUAGAUUUAAUAAUGUAAAGUUUUUCCAAAGCCUAUAAUACAUAAGUAUGGAGGGCGAGGGAGCAGUUGAGAUGUAUGUCUUUUUAUUUAUUUGUUUGUUUGUUUGUUUGUUUAUUUGAUUUAUACCCCGCCCAUCUGGCCUAUAAGAUGACUUUUUGUGCAUGUUUUUUGUAAAUAUAGGUAUAAUGGAGCCAUAGUUCAGGAGUACUGAGAUUGAUAGGUAUAUAGAUUAUUUAUUUAUUUGGCUUCUAUACCACCCGAUUAGUGCAACACAAUAUUCUGUGAAGUUAAUCAUUUAUGAGGUCAAAUAAGUAACAGUAAUUAGUAGGAAUAGUUCGUUUUUGAUUAGCAGGAGUUACGACACCUGGCAUUCCCCUCAGGCUCAUCUCUGAAUUUAGCUGUAAUCUGUAUAGUUGUGGAUUUCUCAAAAUGAAGUGUGAGAUAUCUCUGUUGUAAUAUGAAAUAUUUUGGGGCGGCUUGGUCUUGAAUGGUCAAUCAACAGUCAUUAGCUUUACCAAAGCCCUGUUCUGGUUUGUUGAUAUGUAUCGACCUAGCUGCCUGCGUUUUUGCACACUCAUUAAGGCCCUGCCUAUGAGGACUGUUACAAUAAGCUCCUGCACUUCAUAAUUCACUAUGACAUACCUGUAGAGGAUUCAGCCUAUAGGACUGCGACAGGAGUGGCGGCGGCUGGAAAUGUAUAUGUCACUUUCUACUUUGGACUCAAUUCCCCUGAAGGCUGCCCAUGACAAAAUGAAUGUAUCUAAGGAAUGCAUGCAUCUGAAUGAAAAAAACAAACACACCUGUACGUGUCCUAAAGCAAAAACCAUCUGCUGAGGUGAAACAUCCUUCUCAUACAGAACAUAAGGAAUCAUUUGAGCUUCCCUGCUUGACCAUGCACUCACAUUGUGUAGCUAGCCCUCAGGAUUGCUAAUUCUCCAAAUGUCUGUGAUAAAAGUACGAAUUGGUAUAAUAGCUAUCGAUGGGAACACUGGACUUCUUAUAAGGUUGAAACAUAUUGCUACUCAUCCAAGUAUUACUUGGAUGAGUAGCAAAACGUUUCAGUCUAAUAAGAAAAAAGUCCAGUUGCUAUGACUCACCUUCCAGAUAAACCUCACCUGGAUGACUGAGGAGCUUCACAAAUAGCUGUUGAGGUUCAGAAGGCAGUGAGGUCCCUGUACGUGGCUGUGGGUGGGUGGAAUGUUUUAUUAUGGUGUAUCUGUGUUCCUUCGUCAGAGAGUCACUCUCUUCUUCCAACUAUAACUAGUUGCUUACUGCAGAUAUUGGACCUUGAGAAUGCCCACACAGCCUUCAGUGUUUCUUUCUUCUUACACCUGGGACUGCCAACAUUCUCUACAGUUAAGAAAUCCUUCAUCAAGUUUUCAUCAUCUCCUGGUGAGACUGAGUCUUCCCUGGCAAGGCCAGUGCCUCCUCCAUCUCGUGUUUCUAGGAGAGAGCUGCUGGCUGGGGCCUUAAUAUCAGCUCCAGUCUUAGUCUCCCCCUCCUUAGGGCAGUUUGUUCUUGGCCUCAUCAUCUGAAGAAGAUUUGUUCAGGUAUGGCAUUACAGGUUGGACCAUUGUCAGGGAUGCUAUAACUGUGGAUUUCCUGUAUUUGGAGGGAUACUUGAAAUCAAGCCAAAUCUACAGUUUUGUGAUUCUGUCACUGAGGUUCCCAUUGGCACAAAGCAUCUGUGCACAUGCAACUGAACAUGCAUUGAUUCCUCUUUAAAAUGUUGUAUUAGGUAUCCACUCACUGGGAAGCAAGGAAGGAGAUACUUAGGUUUGGGGCUACUGGCUGUGAUCCCAAACUCUGGAGGGAGAAGAUCUUAUGGAUAAUAGGACUGUUUAAACAUGCCUUAUAUUUUAGUACAGUGGUCCCCAUCCGUUUUGGGACCGCGGACCAGUUGGGGGGGCUGGGCUCCGUGGGGGGGUCAACCCCACGUUCUUGGGUGGUUGCACUUGCGACCCUGCGAGCGAGUGUGACAUGCCCACUGGGCAGGCAGGCGGAUAUCCAUCUCUGUGGCCCAGUUCCAGCAAGCCCAUGGACCGGCACCCGGCCACAGACCAGGGUUUGGGGACCUGUUUUAGCAGGACUCCUCUAAAGAUUCCACAUAGCUGUAAGAUGCUAUUUGCAUGUUGAUAAAAUACUGUAAGGAAAGCUCCAAAUCACUAAAUGAUGACAUUACAGUAACUAUUUGGAGUUAUUACAUGAAAAACAUAGGCAAAGAUACUCAUUGCUGGCCAAUACUGCCUAAGCUGCUUCAUAUAGUUUCCUUAAAGCAGAAGACAUCCUGGCCAUUUUCCACUUAAAGGUAAAGGUUCCCCUUCAUAUUUAGUCCAGUUGUGUCCAACUCUAAGGUGCGGUGCUCAUCCCCAUCUCCAAGCCGCAUCCUGCCACUUUACUUCUUAGCUGCUCUUAUUGUUAUUUCUUAGAACUGGAAAUUAAAACCCUAACCACUGUACCUUGUUUGGCCCUGAAACAGGCCGUAUCCUGCCACUUCUUAGCUGCUCUUAUUGUUGUUUCUUAGAACUAGAAAUUAAAAUCUUAGGUUUCUCACAACUUACAGUGGUGCCUUGACUUACGGCCAUAAUCCAUUCCAGAAGAUGGGCAUAACUUGAAAUAGUCGUAAAUUGAAGCACCAUUUCCCACAGGAAUGCAUUGGAACGCGAUUAAUCCGUUAUCAUCAUAAUAAUAAUAACCAAAAACACUCCAAGCUCCAUCAGAACGUGAUGAGGCUGGGGAAAAAAUCAAACACAUACACAUUCCAUUGGAAUGCAAAGGGGCUGGGGGAAAAAUCAAACCCCACACAUACACAGCCGUCCCUAUCGGAACGUGAUGGGGCUGGGGAAAAAAGUCAAACCCCCCCACAGCCAGCCCCAUUGGAUCGUGAUGGGGCUGGGGAAGAAAUAAACAGUCCACACACAGCCA
ensembl:lncRNA